rnacentral:rRNA from 1 species
GACGCACGCUGGCGGCGUGCUUAACACAUGCAAGUGGAGCGACGAACCAGGGCUUGCCCUGGGGCAGAGCCGCGAACGGGUGAGUAACACGUGGGUUACCUGCCUCGAUGACCGGGACCACCCGAGGAAACUCGGGCUAAUACCGGAUGUGCCCGCAAGGGGAAAGGAAGCUUCGGCCUCCCCAGCGCUCUGGGCCCGCGGCCCAGUCGCUUGUUGGUGAGGUAACGGCUCACCAAGGCUUCGAUGGGUAGCUGGUCUGAGAGGACGAUCAGCCAUACUGGGACUGAGACACGGCCCAGACUCCUACGGGAGGCAGCAGUGGGGAAUCUUGCGCAAUGCGCGAAAGCGUGACGCAGCAACGCCGCGUGGGGGAAGAAGGCUUUCGGGUUGUAAACCCCUUUCAGUUGGGACGAAGCUGCGGCGGUUAAUAGCCGUUCGGAGUGACGGUACCUUCACAAGAAGCACCGGCUAACUACGUGCCAGCAGCCGCAGUAAGAC